rnacentral:lncRNA from 1 species
AAAUUAAUCUAAAGAUAAUGUUUUAAACACUAGAAGUUACAGUCAUGCAUAUAUGUACAUAUAAACACGUAGGAAUAAAUAUGUGCAUGUAAGUAUACGUACAUAUAUGUAGUAUAUGCGUUUAUAUGUAUUACAAAAUUUACAAAACAUUAGCUAUACAACAAUGAAUAUAAAUUUUAUAGGGAGAUCCUGAAAUGAGAGAAGAUCCUGAAUUCCCUAAGGCAAUGAUGGAAGAAAUAUUAGCUACGAACACCUCAAUCGAUGGGGGGACUUUACAAGGUACUUAUGUCUUUUAUCCAAACAAAACAAAACCUAAAAUGUGGAUUGGAAAUUAUAAAGUUGUUAAUCCUGAAGACAUUAUCUGCAAAACUGUAGCAGAAAAAAUAGGACUAACUGAGGAAGAAUGGAGAAAUUAUAUAAAGAAUAAGCAAAUAAAUGAGAAAGGAGAUGAUAAAACAAAAGUAAAUGCUAAUUUUGAUGAAAUAACUUGCGAAAUACCUAUAGAAUUAAAGGAAAAUUUAGAAAAAGCAAAUAUCGAUUAUGUAACUAUGGAAAACAACAAUAUACCAUAUUACGACGAAAGUGAGUUCAUACAAGACCCAGACAUUUUGAAUAAAAUAUAUAACAGCUUGAAUAAUUCUAAUUUGGAAAAUUUACAUGAAGAUAGUUAUUUAAUGAAUGGCUAUACUGUUGAUAAGAGUUUAUAUUUGGAUAAUGCAGCAAACGAAGAGGAAGAUGAAGAAACGGUCAAUCAAGAAGAGAUCGAAGUAGAAAGUGAAAAAAAAACAAAUGAAGUAAAGGAAAAUGCUAAAAUAGUAAAAAAGAUGAGUAAAAGCAGUAGUUAUGUUAAUAAAUUAAAUAAAUUAACAAAAACUGUGAAUGUAAGUAAAGAAAAAUUGGCUGAAAAUCGUACUAGUGAAGAUAGACAUGGAAAACCUAAAUAUACUGAAAAUAAUGUAUUUAGCCCUAAAAAUAAAACUCAAAGAAAUGUAUCAAAAAAUAUAAAACCAAAAAAAUGUGAUAAAAGGGAUAUACUUGCUGAAUUAAUCAAUGAAAACAAAAAUAAAUAUCAACAUAAGAUUAAUACUAUAAAUAAAAAAAAUAAAGAUUUGUAUAAAAAUUUGGCAUCUCUAAGUACAAAAGAAAGUUUUGAAAGUAAAAAAAAGACUAAGAAAAAUAUAACAUCAGUUAAAAAUGUUUAUAAUAAUAGCAUUUUGGUAAAAUAAACAAAUAUUUUAUUUCUUUCGUUAUAUUUUAUCACCGCUUCAUUUAUGACAGCUAUCUAUGUAUAUGUGUAUGUAUUAUUUAAAUUAAUUUAUAUGAUGCAUUUGUGACAUUACAGUCAUGUUUCAAAACCAUUAUUUCUUUGUCUGUCUGUCUGUCUGUCUGUCUGUUUGUUUGUUUGUUUGUUUGUUUGUUUGUUUGUUUGUUUGUUUGUUUGUUUGUUUGUUUGUUUGUUAUUUUUUUUUUUUUUUUUUUUUUUUUUUUUUUUUUUUUUUUUUUUUUUUAUUUUUUUUUUUUUAAUUGUCAUAUUUUGUCAUUGUGGGAGUAUAAUGUCUGCUUCCUCCUUUCCAAAAGUAUUUGGAUUAUUUUCCUGUCAAUAUAUUACAUACAUAUAUGAACCAUAUACACAUAUAUAUAUAUAUAUAUAUGUGUACCUGUGCAUAUGAAUAUGCAUUAAUAUAUUUUUAUU